rnacentral:rRNA from 1 species
AUUGAACGCUGGCGGCAUGCCUUACACAUGCAAGUCGAACGGUAACAGGUCUUCGGAUGCUGACGAGUGGCGAACGGGUGAGUAAUACAUCGGAACGUGCCCGAGAGUGGGGGAUAACGAAGCGAAAGCUUUGCUAAUACCGCAUACGAUCUCAGGAUGAAAGCAGGGGACCGCAAGGCCUUGCGCCCACGGAGCGGCCGAUGGCAGAUUAGGUAGUUGGUGGGAUAAAAGCUUACCAAGCCGACGAUCUGUAGCUGGUCUGAGAGGACGACCAGCCAAGCUGGGACUGAGACACGGCCCAGACUCCUACGGGAGGCAGCAGUGGGGAAUUUUGGACGAUGGGCGCAAGCCUGAUCCAGCCAUGCCGCGUGCAGGAUGAAGGCCUUCGGGUUGUAAACUGCUUUUGUACGGAACGAAAAGACUCCUUCUAAUAAAGGGGGUCCAUGACGGUACCGUAAGAAUAGGCACCGGCUAACUACGUGCCAGCAGCCGCGGUAAAAC